rnacentral:rRNA from 1 species
GACGAACGCUGGCGGCGUGCCUAAUACAUGCAAGUAGAACGCUGAAGGAGGAGCUUGCUUCUCUGGAUGAGUUGCGAACGGGUGAGUAACGCGUAGGUAACCUGCCUGGUAGCGGGGGAUAACUAUUGGAAACGAUAGCUAAUACCGCAUAAUAGUAGAUGUCGCAUGACAUUUGCUUAAAAGGUGCAAUUGCAUCACUACCAGAUGGACCUGCGUUGUAUUAGCUAGUUGGUGAGGUAACGGCUCACCAAGGCAACGAUACAUAGCCGACCUGAGAGGGUGAUCGGCCACACUGGGACUGAGACACGGCCCAGACUCCUACGGGAGGCAGCAGUAGGGAAUCUUCGGCAAGGGACGGAAGUCUGACCGAGCAACGCCGCGGGAGUGAAGAAGGGUGUCGGAUCGUAAAGCUCUGUUGUAAGAGAAGAACGAGUGUGAGAGUGGAAAGUUCACACUGUGACGGUAUCUUACCAGAAAGGGACGGCUAACUACGUG